GAUCACAGCUAAUCAGUGGGGUAAAUUUUCCGAUUAACGUUGAGGUUAAAGCGCAAAUAUGCAGAAGCAAGGGGUACCAAAGUAAACAGAUUUCAACGGAUAAUGUUAAUUGCAGAUACCCACCAAGAACAUAGGUGGUGCAGAGCGAGAAGAACAGGUCACAACGCCAAAAGCGAGAACCAGUUUAUCAUCCACGUCGGAAACGGAGGCGACGACGAAAAGGCGCGCGUAUCUAAGAGAUAGAAACAAAGCAGGGAGGGAAAGGAAAAGAAUUCAGUGAUUUCGCGUCCACAAAAUCGGCUCGGUAAGACAUGACAGAAAGACCAAAAUAACCCUAGAAUUUAAUACAAAAAAGGAGUUUGUUGUAAUUGCAGCAGCAGGUCGACGAAAGCACCUUAACUCUCGCUUCUAAAUAAGUAGAAAAUCCAUCUCUUUUGAGGAAAGUAGUAUAUACCAAAUUUAGGGAGAUCAUGGGAACUCUUAUUAAAACAAAGAUAAUGCUACUGUUUAAUUCACUUUAAUAUCAUCAUUUAAUUUCUUUUAACAUAUUCAAUUAUUUUAUUCUUACAUAAUCAUAACUUUGACUAGUAAUUAUUUUGUACAUUGAGAUUUUACUUUCAUACUUUAAAUGACAAAAAGAAUUUCCCCUUGAGUGAAGCUGCAAAAAACAUUAAAGGAAAAACAAGCAAAACAAAGGCUGUUUCACAAUUUAUUGGGCGAUCACAGCUAAUCAGUGCGGUAAAUUUUCCGAUUAACGUUGAGGUUAAAGCGCAAAUAUGCAGAAGCAAGGGGUACCAAAGUAAACAGAAUUCAACGGAUAAUGUUAAUUGCAGAUACCCACCAAGAACAUAGGUGGUGCAGAGCGAGAAGAACAGGUCACAACGCCAAAAGCGAGAACCAGUUUAUCAUCCACGUCGGAAACGGAGGCGACGACGAAAAGGCGCGCGUAUCUAAGAGAUAGAAACAAAGCAGGGAGGGAAAGGAAA
rnacentral:lncRNA from 1 species